rnacentral:rRNA from 1 species
AUACGGGGGGCUGCAGUGGGGAAUAUUGGACAAUGGGCGAAAGCCUGAUCCAGCCAUGCCGCGUGUGUGAAGAAGGCCUUCGGGUUGUAAAGCACUUUCAGUGGGGAAGAAAGCCUUGGGGCUAAUACCCUCGAGGAAGGACAUCACCCACAGAAGAAGCACCGGCUAACUCCGUGCCAGCAGCCGCGGUAAUACGGAGGGUGCGAGCGUUAAUCGGAAUUACUGGGCGUAAAGCGCGCGUAGGCGGUCUGAUAAGCCGGUUGUGAAAGCCCCGGGCUCAACCUGGGAACGGCAUCCGGAACUGUCAGGCUAGAGUGCAGGAGAGGAAGGUAGAAUUCCCGGUGUAGCGGUGAAAUGCGUAGAGAUCGGGAGGAAUACCAGUGGCGAAGGCGGCCUUCUGGACUGACACUGACGCUGAGGUGCGAAAGCGUGGGUAGCAAACAGGAUUAGAUACCCUAGUAGUC